ACUUAAAUUGAAGAGUUUGAUCAUGGCUCAGAUUGAACGCUGGCGGCAGGCCUAACACAUGCAAGUCGAGCGGUAGCACAGAGAGCUUGCUCUCGGGUGACGAGCGGCGGACGGGUGAGUAAUGUCUGGGAAACUGCCUGAUGGAGGGGGAUAACUACUGGAAACGGUAGCUAAUACCGCAUAAUGUCGCAAGACCAAAGUGGGGGACCUUCGGGCCUCAUGCCAUCAGAUGUGCCCAGAUGGGAUUAGCUAGUAGGUGGGGUAACGGCUCACCUAGGCGACGAUCCCUAGCUGGUCUGAGAGGAUGACCAGCCACACUGGAACUGAGACACGGUCCAGACUCCUACGGGAGGCAGCAGUGGGGAAUAUUGCACAAUGGGCGCAAGCCUGAUGCAGCCAUGCCGCGUGUGUGAAGAAGGCCUUCGGGUUGUAAA
rnacentral:rRNA from 1 species